GAUGAAGAACGCAGCGAAAUGCGAUAAGUAAUGCGAAUUGCAGAAUUCCAGUGAGUCAUCGAAUCUUUGAACGCACAUUGCGCCCUUUGGUAUUCCGAAGGGCAUGCCUGUUCGAGCGUCAUUAUCACCCCUCAAGCCCUCGGCUUGGUGUUGUACGGUUUGGUGGAGGCCCCCUCGGGGGUUCCUGCCCCUCCCAAAGACAAUGACGGCGGCCUCGUUGGACCCCCGGUACACUGAGUUCUUCACGGGACACGUAUCGGACACAUGGGUUUACGGGACACGGUCUGCCUCCCCUCAGGGAGAAUCUUUCUAAGGUUGACCUCGGAUCAGGUAGGGAUACCCGCUGAACUUAAGCAUAUCAAUAAGCGGAGGA
rnacentral:misc_RNA from 1 species